CUUCCGUUAGAACUGAUGGAGUACAGUUUUAAAUAGCAACGAAGUACACAGUGGUGUAAAAUUGGCACAGAACCUACAAGCAUUUCAUUCAUAAUAAUGCUCCUCAUGCUGUAACUGUUCAAACCUUGAUGUGUAUUUUUUUUAACAGCCAACUUUAAGAAAAUUGUUUUCCCUUAAAUAAAAUGAUGAACAAAACAAAAACCUUGUUUUCUGUCUCUACUGUCAGAUAUCAGGAACAUCUUUUUUUUUUUCUUUUUCUCAACAUGAUCUCCAAUUGAAAAAAUAAGGUUUUAUUCCUGGGCUAAUCGUAAGUUUUGUCUUUCCUAUAAAAAUCACCAGGAAUUCCUGAACGCAUAUAUUCCUGCACAAAAGAAUAUUCACUUAUUUAUCUGAUAUACAGUUGCAGGACAGUCCCCAAACCAAUUUUUUUGUGUACUAUGCUAUUGAUCAAGGUGCUGCCUCUAUCUUACAUGCAACACUAUAAGCGUUAACGCAGUUCAAAACAAAAUUUGGCAUUGACCUCACCAACGGGUUUUUACUUUUUUCUGUUAUAAAACAUCCCUUGGUCUCAUUGUUAACCCAUAAGAAAAAUGGACACGCACAAAAAAUGCCCCCUUUUCUAAAGAUAUUAACUCCCAGUUAGGAAAGUUUAGAUAGGUUUUACAAAGUCUUCUAGGCUAUUUUGAUACAUACAAAUUAUAAACUAAAGGUUAAAAUACACUUAUACAAUACAGUCCUGUCCUCCAUAUUCUUUUUCAAAUUCUUUGCAUAUUUAAGCCAGGUAAAAUUAACACUUGUCGUUUUCUUUGUUAUUGCAAUUAUUAAGAGGGAUUACAGCUUGCUUAUGCAAAGCUGUGACAAAACACUUGAGAAAUACAACCCAAACGUUUAUCUUGUUACCCCAAAAAAUGCUGCAGAAAAUUGUCAAACUAUGUUAGAAAUAGUUUUUACAAAAAUGCUUCACUCAGAAAAAUUGGAAAGCUUAAAAAAUUAAUCUUUGCACAAGACUAUAUUAUACCGUCCUCAAUUAUGUUCCCAUUUAGAUAACUGGGAUUCUCAUUCUUUGUACAUGAACCUAUCAGUGACGUACGAUGCUCUUCAUCUUUUUUCACUGUUAUCUUUAUUGUACACCAUUUUGAGACUUACAGAAUCAAGCACUUAUCAUGACCCUACCCCUUUUUAACAGUAGAUUUCUUAUCCUGUCCAGCGAGUAGUGUACUGUCUUGCAUAUUCACCACAUGAAAAACAUAAUAUACAAAAUAUUGCUGCUGUAAAAAGUGUGCAUAUCCCCUUCCCCCUACAAAAAAAAUCUGUGGAAAAAAUAUUAAAUUCCCAUAACCUUCAUAAACAUACAAAGCUGUUCGCACCUUUCAGUCUGUAACAGUCUAUUUGAUAUACAGUUCUCAACUCACUGCAAAUUGCUAUGUCACGUAUUUUCUGUCCAAUAUUGCCAUCUAGAGUAGAGAUGUGAAAUCAGCUUCUGAGAAUCUACAGUCUUUAACAAUUAACCCAUGAAGACCGUAUACUGUAAAACAGCCACAAGAUUUUUUUCCAAGAACUAGAUGGAAUGGGAGGUUUUCAUCUCAGGAAGAUGUCCACAGUGCUGAGAAGACAAUAUGGCUGCUAAUAGAUAUUGCCUACCGGAAUGUGAAUACUUUUCACUGUUGGUAAUUUCCAUACUGACCCUGGUCAUAUCCGUAAGGCCUCUGCUGUGGUGGCUGUGGUGGCCCAGGCUGUGUGGGUCUGUAUCCCCCAUACUGCUGGCCUUGUCCUUGUGGAUAAUUGGGAUACUGAGGUCCGGGGCCACCCUGGGAAGGGCCAUAACCCUGCUGUUGUCCAGGAUAGCCUUGUUGGCCUGGAUAUUGCUGCUGUUGUGGUGGGUAACCCUGUUGUUGGGGUGGUCCUUGAUAUGCAUCUUGCUGCUGACCAUAUUGUGAGUUUCCAUCAGGGUAAUAUUGCUGGUUCAUGCCUUCUGGAGGACCUUGUCCACCAUGACUGUAUUGGUCCCCAUAAUAGUCUUCCUGGCCUGAGUACUGCUGUGGUGGGCCUUGCUGUGGCGGUCUGUAUGGAGGAAUCUGUCUCUGACCCAUCAUGUGAUUGCCUUGAUUAACUUGGCCCAUCAUUCCCAUAGGUGGUUGCUGUCCUUGGUAAUGCUGGCCACCAGCUUGUGGCAUGUUGUAUUGCUGGGAAGGAGGCUGCUGGUGCAUCAUUGGACCUUGGUUUGGUUGCAUGUUCAUGUUUGGUCUGGGACCAUAGUUUCCCAUUGGCUGUCCCUGGCUCAUGGUCAUCUGAUUCUGCACUGGCAUACUCUGUGAGGAUGGCACUGAGUGAUUAUAGCCGCCCAUCGACCCAUGGCUACUUGAAGGCAUGUUCAUGGAACUGUUUGUCAUAUUGAGUUGGUUAGGUCCAGGUCCUUGCAUAGGCAUAUGGUUAGGUCCAGGCAUCUGGCCGUUCAUCUGGUUCUGCAUGUGUGGCGCAGGAGGGCCCCCACCUACCAGUCCAUCUGAAGACAUGUUGUGCGAGCGCGGGGGCGGAGGGGGGCCGCUCUGACUCAUCCCUCCUGGACCCAUAGGCAUAUUCUGUGUGGGUGGUGCUGGUAGCAGAGACUGCAUGUUCUGGUUGGAGUCAGCUAUAGUAGCUAGAUAAACCAAGUUUGUGUGUAGCAUCUGCUGGUAUUGAGAGCAUUCAGAUGUCUUUCCUUUGUUUUGGUAGUCCAUUAUACACUGAAUAAGAUGGUUAUUUUCAUCCAGCAUCUUCUGGAUGGCGGCCGGCGUGAUCUCGCCUUUCCCCCGCUGCCGGGGGGCCGCGAACGCCACCGACAUGUCGCACCGCUGCCGCCAGCAGGGCCCAACCCGCGCCCGCCCGCUCACGCGCACCCCGCGGUGGCGGGAGGCGGCCGCGAUCCGAGAACAGAGCUGCGCGGGGGGCGGGGCG
rnacentral:lncRNA from 1 species